rnacentral:rRNA from 1 species
AGUGAACGCUGGCGGUAGGCCUAACACAUGCAAGUCGAACGGCAGCACAGUAAGAGCUUGCUCUUACGGGUGGCGAGUGGCGGACGGGUGAGGAAUACAUCGGACUCUACUUUUUCGUGGGGGUUAACGUAGGGAAACUUACGCUAAUACCGCAUACGACCUACGGGUGAGAGCAGGGGAUCUUCGGACCUUGCGCGAUUGAAUGAGCCGAUGUCGGAUUAGCUAGUUGGCGGGGUAAAGGCCCACCAAGGCGACGAUACGUAGCUGGUCUGAGAGGAUGAUCGGCCACAUUGGAACUGAGACACGGUCCAGACUCCUACGGGAGGCAGCAGUGGGGAAUAUUGGACAAUGGGCGCAAGCCUGAUCCAGCCAUACCGCGUGGGUGAAGAAGGCCUUCGGGUUGGAAAGCCCGUUUGUUGGGAAAGAAAAGCAGCAGGUUAAUACCCCGCUGUUCUGACGGUACCCAAAGAAUAAGCACCGGCUAACUUCGUG